rnacentral:rRNA from 1 species
UUGAACGCUGGCGGCAGGCCUAACACAUGCAAGUCGGACGGUAGCACAGAGGAGCCUGCUCCUUGGGUGACGAGUGGCGGACGGGUGAGUAAUGUCUGGGGAUCUGCCCGAUAGAGGGGGAUAACCACUGGAAACGGUGGCUAAUACCGCAUAACGUCGCAAGACCAAAGAGGGGGACCUUCGGGCCUCUCACUAUCGGAUGAACCCAGAUGGGAUUAGCUAGUAGGCGGGGUAAUGGCCCACCUAGGCGACGAUCCCUAGCUGGUCUGAGAGGAUGACCAGCCACACUGGAACUGAGACACGGUCCAGACUCCUACGGGAGGCAGCAGUGGGGAAUAUUGCACAAUGGGCGCAAGCCUGAUGCAGCCAUGCCGCGUGUAUGAAGAAGGCCUUCGGGUUGUAAAGUACUUUCAGCGGGGAGGAAGGCGACGGGGUUAAUAACCCUGUCGAUUGACGUUACCCGCAGAAGAAGCACCGGCUAACUCCGUGCCAGCAGCCGCGGUAAUACGGAGGGUGCAAGCGUUAAUCGGAAUUACUGGGCGUAAAGCGCACGCAGGCGGUCUGUUAAGUCAGAUGUGAAAUCCCCGGGCUUAACCUGGG